GGACAACUGGCUUCAGCCCGAAAGGCACUGCAUGGAGGACUGGCUUCUAGUUCAUGGCCAAAGAACGCAUCUUCGCUGGACUGAAACUGGAAGGGGUUCUCAACCCUGUUCCCAGAGCAGCAGACCUGACGCUGGAAUGGAGAUAGCACCUCUGAAUCCUCCCAAGUGGAUGAUCUGGCAAAGGGCACUAGCUCCUCUCCUCUACUAAGCCAAAAUCUCAAAGGCUAGCAUACAUUGGAGCAUCUUCCCUUGAUGGAACAGCCCUCUCAGGGAGCCACAUAGAAAACAGAACACAGACAUGAUGCUUGGAGCUAUAGCAGCCAUCUCGCAAUCAUGAGGAAAGGCCAAGAGAAUUUCUGAGUCACCAAACCCAGCACUGUUCAGCUGCUGAGCCAAUCCCUACAGCCUCCUAUCUCUAGACCUUGUGCUCUGUGAGAAAACUAAAACCCCAUUUUGUUUAAUGCCCUCCUGCUCCGAGAGUUCAGGUUUUCUAUUCCUUACAGUGGAAUGCAUUUCAAACUGAUAUAACUGAUCCCUCAGCCAAAUACUAUUCCCAGCAGAUGGUUAGGGUUGGCUGUGUACAGCUAUGCAAACUGCACACUCCGGGAGACACCAUUCAGAAUGCCUUUGGACUUGUGUAGUGCAAAACCUGCAUUAAGAUGCAAGGUAGCCAUGGAGGUAGUGUGAUCUUUAAAGCCAGACCUUGGUAAAACUCAGUUCCAUUACUUACUUGCCUAAUUGGUCCUGGACCAGUUAGUAACCUCUCUGAGCCUCGGUUUCCUCCCUUUAAAGAGGAAUGAUAAUGCCUCUUUGGGAGGAUUCUUGUAAAGACUAAAGAUAUGUGUAAAACACCUGGCACAGAGCAGAUACUCUAUAAAUAGCAUCUAAAUACUAUAACAGAAAACCCAUAUGAUCUGUGCUGGCGGCUGUUUGGAGCACCCUGCAUUGAACGGCUGCAGUGAUUACAAGGGUCUCCUCCUCCCACAGCUGCAGUGUGGCAGGCCCAGUCUACUGCAGGGAACAUCUGUGAAAGGGUGCAGGCAGGGCAACGAACAGGCACAGGGAGGAGAGGGGUACAUCAGGGAAGCACGCUGAGAGGCCACCCUCCUUCAUUUGAUUCUCUGCACUUGUGCACCUGCUGCAUGCUACCAUUUAUGGGACCGGCAGCUUCAUCAAGGGGCCCCCCCGCACCCCACCAUGAUGAAGCUUUAAAUACAAGUAUUACCAGACCAAGGAGCUCUAACAGAUGCCAUGGAAACAGGCCAUUCUUUUUGUUUCAAGUGCUGUGUUUACGGGAGGAAGAUCUGACACGGCAGCUUUGGCCAGCCUAGGUGCAGCCAUCAACAUCAAGACUGCUGGGGAAGGGGGCAGGUUCCAGAGACAAUCCAUCCCGCUUACUCUAGUCUUCAAGGCUGAAAAAGAAUUUGGCUUCUGCACCUCAGUUGAAGCACCAGGACUUGAGUGAUGAUUUGGGUGUCAUCCAGAAAGACAUUCUCUGGUCCAGAUCCCUUCAUUCUUUGUAGGAACAUUUAUUGAGCUCCUACUGUUCUAGGACCUGCAG
rnacentral:lncRNA from 10 species